GCAAGUCGAACGAGAAAAUCUUGCUUGCAAGAUGAGUAAAGUGGCGCACGGGUGAGUAACGCGUGGGUAAUCUACCUUUGGGACAGGGAUAACACUCCGAAAGGGGUGCUAAUACCUGAUACGAUGCGAAUUUCAGAAGGAAUUUGUAUGAAAGGUGACCUCUUCCUUGAAAGUUGCCGCUCGAAGAUGAGCCUGCGUCCCAUUAGCUUGUUGGUAAGGUAAUGGCUUACCAAGGCGAAGACGGGUAGCUGGUCUGAGAGGAUGAUC
rnacentral:rRNA from 1 species